CAUUAAGAAGCUAUGAACCAGCAUUAGCCUUUUAAGCUAAAGAAAGAGGGAUCCUCCCCUCCUUAAUGG
rnacentral:tRNA from 1 species